AUGGCGCUGAGGAGGAUUGUCAAGGAGCUCAAGGACCUGCAGAGGGACCCGCCGACCUCCUGUAGCGCAGGGCCGGUGUCGUCGAACGACAUGUUCCACUGGCAGGCGACGAUCAUGGGGCCGAGCGACAGCCCCUACUCGGGCGGCGUGUUCCUGGUGACCAUCCACUUCCCGCCGGACUACCCGUUCAAGCCCCCCAAGGUGGCCUUCAAGACCAAGGUGUUCCACCCCAACAUCAACAGCAACGGCAACAUCUGCCUCGACAUCCUCAAGGACCAGUGGAGCCCCGCCCUCACCAUUUCCAAGGUUCUGCUGUCGAUAUGCUCGCUGCUGACGGACCCCAACCCGGACGACCCGCUGGUGCCGGAGAUCGCGCACAUGUGCAAGGCCGACCGGACCAGGUACGAGUCCACGGCCAGGGGCUGGACGCACAAGUACGCCAUGGGAUAG
rnacentral:rRNA from 1 species